UAUAUGCGAAAUAUCUCUGGGCAAUUGCUUUUUUAGCUCGCGGUAAGUAUAUCUUAUGCUCAUUUUUUGUAUUGUGGAUGUGAUUUACGGUUUGUAUACUAAUUUUUUCCUCGCUAUAGAACAUUAGUAUGUUUUGUGCGCACAACUUUCUUAUAUCCAUUACGUUCGCGUUUUUAAAUAAUUGGUCGCUGGAAUAUAUACAAGGGGCUCUCAUCAUAACCUUUAAUAAUCUUUUUUGUAAUAUUUCAAGAGGAAGAAUGUGGCAGUCUCGUACUCCUCUCCACGCUAUAAUUCCGUACUGCAGUAGAGAUUCAACAAGAGCAUGAUACAGUAUUUUCAGUUUGGGGAAAGGAAUGAAGUUCCUGAACUGGUAAAACCUGUAAAUGAGGGACCGGAUCUUUUUUGAGAGUUCCGUAAUAUGAAUAUUCCAAUUCAUGAAACUAUCGAUGUGGACUCCGAGGUACUUGACCGUUCUUUCAAGUACAAUUUCUUCAUUUCCUAUCCUGACGGUGAAAGUUGGUUCGUUUCAUAAGAUGUGAAAGCUUUUUCUUUAACUCCCCUCCAAGAGUUUUCGUCAUAAAUGAGAGCCGUGUGGUCAGCAAAAGAAGAAACAAUGCCUGUGGAUCGUAUUUUCAAUAAUUUUCGAUUAUGUUGAGGAUUUUGCCACGGAAUCCCAAGCGUUUCAGUUUCUCCAGCAGAAUCUUAUGACUUACCGUGUCGAAUGCCUCCGCGAGAUCUAAAAAGACACCCAGACACGGACGAUUGGAAUCCAGGAACUGAUAUAUUUUUGAUGUCAACAAUGCGAGAGCAUCUUGGGUUGAGGUUUUCUCUCUGAAUCCAAAUUGUGAACUGGAGAUAAUGUCAUUUUUAUCAAGGUUUCUGUUAAUAUCAUGCAGUGGAGAGAAUCAUGGAUCUCGGAUGUACUACACAGAAAUUCGUCGAAAUGUCUAUGAAUGCUCUGGAUAUUAUUGUGGAUCAGUGAAAAUUCAUUGGACGGGUAUCAACAGUUGGCGCUUGGAAAUCUCUGAUAAAUUGAUCCAUGUUGAGAAUUUAACUAAUUACAAAAAUAUAACACAAGAAAAAAUCAAGAAUAGGAUGAACUUGAGUUUUGUAUACAGAUAAUGCCCACAAUCUAAUAUAUAUACAUAUAAGGAU